UUAAGCGACUAAGCGUACACGGUGGAUGCCUAGGCAGUCAGAGGCGAUGAAGGGCGUGCUAAUCUGCGAAAAGCGUCGGUAAGGUGAUAUGAACCGUUAUAACCGACGAUACCCGAAUGGGGAAACCCAGUGCAAUUCGUUGCACUAUUGCAUGGUGAAUACAUAGCCAUGCAAGGCGAACCGGGGGAACUGAAACAUCUAAGUACCCCGAGGAAAAGAAAUCAACCGAGAUUCCCCCAGUAGCGGCGAGCGAACGGGGAGGAGCCCAGAACCUGAAUCAGCAUAUGUGUUAGUGGAAGCGUCUGGAAAGUCGCGCGGUACAGGGUGAUAGUCCCGUACACAAAAAUGCAUAUGUUGUGAGUUCGAUGAGUAGGGCGGGACACGUGACAUCCUGUCUGAAUAUGGGGGGACCAUCCUCCAAGGCUAAAUACUCCUGACUGACCGAUAGUGAACCAGUACCGUGAGGGAAAGGCGAAAAGAACCCCGGCGAGGGGAGUGAAAUAGAACCUGAAACCGUGUACGUACAAGCAGUGGGAGCACCUUCGUGGUGUGACUGCGUACCUUUUGUAUAAUGGGUCAGCGACUUAUAUUUUGUAGCAAGGUUAACCGAAUAGGGGAGCCGUAGGGAAACCGAGUCUUAACUGGGCGAAUAGUUGCAAGGUAUAGACCCGAAACCCGGUGAUCUAGCCAUGGGCAGGUUGAAGGUUGGGUAACACUAACUGGAGGACCGAACCGACUAAUGUUGAAAAAUUAGCGGAUGACUUGUGGCUGGGGGUGAAAGGCCAAUCAAACCGGGAGAUAGCUGGUUCUCCCCGAAAGCUAUUUAGGUAGCGCCUCGUGAACUCAUCUUCGGGGGUAGAGCACUGUUUCGGCUAGGGGGUCAUCCCGACUUACCAAACCGAUGCAAACUCCGAAUACCGAAGAAUGUUAUCACGGGAGACACACGGCGGGUGCUAACGUCCGUCGUGAAGAGGGAAACAACCCAGACCGCCAGCUAAGGUCCCAAAGUCAUGGUUAAGUGGGAAACGAUGUGGGAAGGCAUAGACAGCCAGGAUGUUGGCUUAGAAGCAGCCAUCAUUUAAAGAAAGCGUAAUAGCUCACUGGUCGAGUCGGCCUGCGCGGAAGAUGUAACGGGGCUAAACCAUGCACCGAAGCUGCGGCAGCGACGCUUAGGCGUUGUUGGGUAGGGGAGCGUUCUGUAAGCCGUUGAAGGUGACCUGUGAGGGUUGCUGGAGGUAUCAGAAGUGCGAAUGCUGACAUAAGUAACGAUAAUGCGGGUGAAAAACCCGCACGCCGGAAGACCAAGGGUUCCUGUCCAACGUUAAUCGGGGCAGGGUGAGUCGACCCCUAAGGCGAGGCUGAAAAGCGUAGUCGAUGGGAAACAGGUUAAUAUUCCUGUACUUGGUGUUACUGCGAAGGGGGGACGGAGAAGGCUAGGCUAGCCGGGCGACGGUUGUCCCGGUUUAAGCAUGUAGGCGGAGUGACUUGGUAAAUCCGGUUGCUUAUCAACGCUGAGGUGUGAUGACGAGUCACUACGGUGAUGAAGUAGUUGAUGCCAAGCUUCCAGGAAAAGCCUCUAAGCAUCAGGUAACAUUAAAUCGUACCCCAAACCGACACAGGUGGUCAGGUAGAGAAUACUCAGGCGCUUGAGAGAACUCGGGUGAAGGAACUAGGCAAAAUGGUGCCGUAACUUCGGGAGAAGGCACGCUGGCAUUAGGUAAAGAGACUUGCUCUCGGCGCCGAAGCCAGUCGCAGAUACCAGCUGGCUGCAACUGUUUAAUAAAAACACAGCACUGUGCAAACACGAAAGUGGACGUAUACGGUGUGACGCCUGCCCGGUGCUGGAAGGUUAAUUGAUGGGGUCAGCCGCAAGGCGAAGCUCUUGAUCGAAGCCCCAGUAAACGGCGGCCGUAACUAUAACGGUCCUAAGGUAGCGAAAUUCCUUGUCGGGUAAGUUCCGACCUGCACGAAUGGCGUAAUGAUGGCCAGGCUGUCUCCACCCGAGACUCAGUGAAAUUGAACUCGCUGUGAAGAUGCAGUGUACCCGCGGCAAGACGGAAAGACCCCGUGAACCUUUACUAUAGCUUGACACUGAACAUUGAGCCUUGAUGUGUAGGAUAGGUGGGAGGCAUUGAAGUGUGGACGCCAGUCUGCAUGGAGCCAACCUUGAAAUACCACCCUUUAAUGUUUGAUGUUCUAACUCGGCCCCAUAAUCUGGGGUGAGGACAGUGUCUGGUGGGUAGUUUGACUGGGGCGGUCUCCUCCCAAAGAGUAACGGAGGAGCACGAAGGUUAGCUAAUCACGGUCGGACAUCGUGAGGUUAGUGCAAAGGCAUAAGCUAGCUUGACUGCGAGAGUGACGGCUCGAGCAGGUACGAAAGUAGGUCUUAGUGAUCCGGUGGUUCUGAAUGGAAGGGCCAUCGCUCAACGGAUAAAAGGUACUCCGGGGAUAACAGGCUGAUACCGCCCAAGAGUUCAUAUCGACGGCGGUGUUUGGCACCUCGAUGUCGGCUCAUCACAUCCUGGGGCUGAAGUAGGUCCCAAGGGUAUGGCUGUUCGCCAUUUAAAGUGGUACGCGAGCUGGGUUUAGAACGUCGUGAGACAGUUCGGUCCCUAUCUGCCGUGGGCGUUGGAAGAUUGAGAGGGGCUGCUCCUAGUACGAGAGGACCGGAGUGGACGAAUCACUGGUGUUCGGGUUGUCAUGCCAAUGGCAUUGCCCGGUAGCUAAAUUCGGAAGAGAUAACCGCUGAAAGCAUCUAAGCGGGAAACUUGCCUCGAGAUGAGUCUUCCCUGGGGCUUUAAGCCCCCUGAAGGAACGUUAAAGACUAUGACGUUGAUAGGCUGGGUGUGUAAGUGCAGCGAUGCAUUGAGCUAACCAGUACUAAUGAUCCGUGAGGCUUAACCUU
rnacentral:rRNA from 1 species